rnacentral:lncRNA from 1 species
UGUUCUACCUUCUAGUUAUCAAUGUUGCCGUUUGUCUUGGAACCACAGUUUUUUUCCAUGAAAGAAAGCCUGGUUUAGUCAAGAUAAAUGACCAAAACCAUACUAGAUUGCCAGAAUUCUUGAGAAGGCCCAGAUCCUCACCCAUAGCCCAGCAAGGUGCAUAAUACAGCUGCUCUUCCCUGGCUCACCUUCCUCUAUUCCUCUCCUGUAUCCACAGAGCUGAUCAAGGACCUGGUCUUGUUUGCUGCAGGGUUCCUGGUAAGGCCCAUUAUUGACUUCAUAUUUUUGUUCUUCUCACAUCUCCCUCAUCUCCUCUCACAGUCCCCUCCCCAGUCAUGAGGAACUGAUCACCUGUGAUACACAGACUUUGGAGUCUGUGUGGAGGGACAGGCUGUCUUAAAAACCAGGUGUGU